UUGGCACACUCACCGACUCUCUCUAGGGCUGAGCUGGUGAGCUGAUGUCUUGCCAGCCAACCAUAGUCUCUUCAGCCAUUCUCAUCUUUGUGCUCAACGGGGUAAACCUUAGUCAGACCUUCUAUACCGUGUUUCCCCUUGGCCUUUAAUUCCUUUUUGUUGUUAUUGUUCCCUUUCUCUACAUAAUUUGGAGCUCUACGAGGUAAAACAUAUUGUGGAAUCAGUUCCUAUGUUGUUGAAGCUGUACACAAGCUACAUGGAAACUGAUUCUAUGGUCUUGUUUUUUUAACCUUAUACAUGUCUGACUUUCUUUUUUUUUUUUUUUUUUCCAUUUUUUAUUAGGUAUUUAACUCAUUUACAUUUCCAAUGCUAUACCAAAAGUCCCCCAUAUCCACCCACCCCCACUCCCCUGCCCACCCACUCCCCCUUUUUGGCCCUGGUAUUCCCCUGUACUGGGGCAUAUAAAGUUUGCAAGUCCACUGACUUUCUUUUUGAAACCUUUUGAUGAUCUGUAGCUUCUGUUCCUGGUAAAAGUUCUAUAUUAAAUAUGCAUGUUGUCCUUAGCAAUUUGAUAGAAGCAGUGUGUAAUGGCUGCCUAAGCUUUUCAAAGGUGGCCUGAUAUUCUUUCAGAUGGGUCUUCUGCCAUGUUUUCAGUUUCUGAGAACUACUGACUUUAGUACCCUGGUACUUAAUAACUCACUAGCACCCGUGAGAAUGCCGGUGGGGUACCUUAGUGGGGACUCACUAGGUUCAGUGGUCUUACCAGAUUGCUAUCAAGAGAACUGGUGUCCAUUUGUAUUACUGUUAAUCUUAGGAAAUAAGAUAGCAUAGGGUUUGUGUUCUUUUAAAAUCUGAGUUCUUAGUGACGUGGAACAUUCUUCGUGCUGAAGAUUCCAGGUGACAUAUCGUAAUGGCCAGUUAUUUUUAGUAUUCCACAAAUCAUCCAGCGCUGUCUCCAGGACCAGGGUGUUUGCCAGACUGCGAGGCCAGUUGCUCAUGGUUUCACUUUUCUAUUGUUUUUCUGAACAUCUCUUUGUAUAGUUUUCUCUCUUCAUAAUCCCCUAAUUUUUAUUGAGAAACGUGACUCUGUUGGGAGUCAAUUCAAUUCCUUUUAAUUUAAGAAGUACACUUUUAUGUCCAGGCAUUUUCUUAAAUUAAAAAAAAAAAACCC
rnacentral:lncRNA from 1 species